rnacentral:lncRNA from 1 species
CAUGAUCUUACUUUGUUUUGUGGGCUACCUUUCUAACUCUUCCAAGGUAGGAGAUAAGUGUAGGGUGCAUGAAAUCUUGCUUCUCUUCUCUCUUCUCUCUUCUCUCUUCUCUCUUCUCUCCUCCUUGCCGUGACACCCUUGCUCUCUCUCACUCUCUUUUUCUUUUAACUUAGCAACUUGGAACUUGGAAGAGAAAAUUAUGAAAUGAAAGUAAGAGAAGUGAUAUA